ensembl:lncRNA LINC01252 long intergenic non-protein coding RNA 1252
CAAGAUUCCGGGAAGCGCGUCUUUCUCCUGUCUCCUCCCCAAGAUGUGCGGGUGUCCUUCCCCCAACACCAUGGAAGAAGGGGUCCAGGAAGAAAAUGUCACACUUGCCUGUGACCCCCACCUGGUCUGCAGAAAGGCAGAGAAGACCUGCUUAUGGAGGAAAAAGACGGCCUCUGUCUGGAGCUUCUAUGAAUUACAUAACGAAUAAGUGAUUUCACUACAAAGCAGUGAAAUUUUUAAAAGUUAACCAGUGGCAGAAGUGUCAGGACAGUCUGCACGGGCAAGAAUGAUACCUAAAUCACUACUCAGGCACAGGAGAGAGCAGGACUGGCAUGGCUGGCAGGAAUGAGCUAUGGAAGAUGGGAGAGAAGAAUGAGGAUGGAUGACUAAGAGCAAUGAAAGCUUACAAAGAAACCCAAGAAGGCGAAAUAUUUGCUUAUGAAUAAACAGGAAGGGAAGAAAU